GAUGAACGCUGGCGGCGUGCCUAAUACAUGCAAGUCGAACGAGGUGCCUUCGUAGCAAUACGAGGGUAUCCUAGUGGCGAACGGGUGAGUAACGCGUUGGUGACCUACCCCAAAGUGUGGGAUACCAGUCCGAAAGGACUGCUAAUACCGCAUGUGGUCAUCGGGUUUAGAAACCGAUGUCGAAAGCAGCAAUGCGCUUUGGGAGGGACCUGCGUCCCAUCAGCUAGUUGGUAAGGUAACGGCUUACCAAGGCUACGACGGGUAGGGGACCUGAGAGGGCGACCCCCCACAAUGGAACUGAAAUACGGUCCAUACACCUACGGGUGGCAGCAGUAGGGAAUAUUGCACAAUGGACGAAAGUCUGAUGCAGCAACGCCGCGUGCACGAUGAAGGCCUUCGGGUCGUAAAGUGCUUUUCUGGGAGAUGAGAAAGGACAGUAUCCCAGGAAUAAGUCUCGGCUAACUACGUGCCAGCAGCCGCGGUAAAACGUAGGAGGCAAGCGUUAUCCGGAUUCACUGGGCGUAAAGCGCAUGCAGGCGGUUCGGUAAGUUGGGCGUGAAAUCUCCCGGCUUAACUGGGAGAGGUCGUUCAAUACUACCGGACUUGAGAACAGUAGAGGAAGAUGGAAUUCCCGGUGUAGUGGUGAAAUGCGUAGAUAUCGGGAGGAACACCAGUGGCGAAGGCGAUCUUCUGGACUGUUUCUGACGCUCAUAUGCGAAAGCUAGGGUAGUAAACGGGAUUAGAGACCCCGGUAAUCCUAGCUGUAAACGAUGUGAACUUGGCGUCGGUGGCUUAAACACUAUCGGUGCCGAAGCAAACGCGAUAAGUUCACCGCCUGGGGACUACGAUCGCAAGAUUA
rnacentral:rRNA from 1 species